GGAUGCGAUCAUACCAGCACUAAAGCAUCGGAUCCCAUCAGAACUCCGAAGUUAAGCGUGCUUGGGCGAGAGUAGUACUAGGAUGGGUGACCUCCGGGGAAGUCCUCGUGUUGCAUUCC
rnacentral:rRNA from 1 species